UACGUAGGGUGCGAGCGUUGUCCGGAAUUAUUGGGCGUAAAGCGCUCGCAGGUGGUUCGUUGCGUCGUGCGUGAAAGACCCCGGCUCAACUGGGGGAUGUCGUGCGAUACGGGCGGACUGGAGGCCAGUAGGGGGAUGCGGAAUUCCGGGUGUAGUGGUGGAAUGCGUAGAGAUCCGGAGGAACACCAGCGGCGAAGGCGGCAUCCUGGACUGGUCCUGACACUCAGGAGCGAAAACGUGGGGAGCGAUCCGG
rnacentral:rRNA from 1 species